rnacentral:rRNA from 1 species
CACUCCUGCGGGAGGCAGCAGUGAGGAAUAUUGGACAAUGGGUGGAAGCCUGAUCCAGCCAUCCCGCGUGCAGGAAGACGGCCCUAUGGGUUGUAAACUGCUUUUAUCUGGGGAUAAACCUACUUACGUGUAAGUAGCUGAAGGUACCAGAAGAAUAAGCACCGGCUAACUCCGUGCCAGCAGCCGCGGUAAUACGGAGGGUGCAAGCGUUAUCCGGAUUUAUUGGGUUUAAAGGGUCCGUAGGCGGACUGAUAAGUCAGUGGUGAAAUCCGACAGCUUAACUGUCGAACUGCCAUUGAUACUGUUAGUCUUGAGUAAGGUUGAAGUGGCUGGAAUAAGUAGUGUAGCGGUGAAAUGCAUAGAUAUUACUUAGAACACCAAUUGCGAAGGCAGGUCACUAAGUCUUAACUGACGCUGAUGGACGAAAGCGUGGGGAGCGAACAGGAUUAGAAACCCGUGUAGUCCCAUGA